rfam:Corchorus capsularis cultivar CVL-1 contig13722, whole genome shotgun sequence.
AGCCGCGCAAUGAGCACAGAGCGAACUAUUCUUUCGCCUUUUACUAAAGAAUACCGUGUGCUCGUUGCAGGCAGCGGCAUACGCCUAUUUUUGGAGGAGCUCUUCUAAUUUUGAAGAGCU